GUGGGAACUAGUAUCGCGACGAGUGAGAGGUUGUCCGAGUGACUCCCGCUGAGGCGGUCCUUUGUCCCUGUAGUGAGUCGGCGAAUAUUGGGAGGGCAAGCCUGGAGUCGGCCGCGGCGGGAAUUCCCCCGCCUCGAGUGGUCGGGGCGAUUAUUGAGCCUAUCCCCCUUUCACCCGGUGGCGUAAGUCCUCAGAUACCCGCAACCGCUUAACGGUUGACCUGCUGAGCAUACCGCGGGGCUAAGGGGCGCGAGAUGCAGACGGGCCUCCGCGUGGGCGGGUGAGGUGGUUUGAUCCGCGGAGGACCACCCAUGUGCAAGGCCCCUAGCCCCAGCUCCCUCCACUGUCAUCCCUGAAAUCCGGGGGAGCGAACCGGAUUUUCCCCCCGGGUAGUCCCAUCCGGGGCCCAUGCUAGGGAUAUGAUUCAUUGCUUAGUCGCGACUGAACUGUCACAAGGAAGCCGAUGGUGAUGCCGCCUGGGGAGUACGGUCGCAAGACUGAAACUU
rnacentral:rRNA from 1 species